AUACGGAAGGUCCGGGCGUUAUCCGGAUUUAUUGGGUUUAAAGGGAGCGCAGGCGGAGAUGCAAGCGUGACGUCAAAUUUCGGGGCUCAACCCCGUCUCGCGUCGCGAACUGCGUCCCUUGGUUGCGGGAAGGGGAGGCGGAACUCGUGGUGUAGCGGUGAAAUGCAUAGAUAUCACGAAGAACUCUGAUCGCGAAGGCAGCCUUCCGGCCCGUCAACGACGCUCAUGCUCGAAGGUGCGGGUAUCAAACAGGAUUAGAUGCCCUGGUAGUCCGCACAGUAAACGAUGGACACCCGCGGUUUGGCCUGUAUGGCUGAGCCGCCAAGCGAAAGCGUUAAGUGUCCCACCUGGGGAGUACGCCGGCAACGGUGAAACUCAAAUGAAUUGACGGGG
rnacentral:rRNA from 1 species